rnacentral:snRNA from 12 species
AGUUUUGUGCUGUGGCAGUAUCAUAGCCAAUGAUUAUUAUCCAAGGCAUGAUUAUUGCUAAUUGAAAACUUUCCCCAAUACUCCACCGUGACAACUUGCAACAUAGUGAGCAUUGGCAAUUUUUUUUUUUUUUUUUUUUUUUUUUUGAGACAGAG